GUCCGUUCGGCGUAGUCUACAGAGUAGUUUGACUCCGUGGCUACGAGACACGCUGGCGGCGUGCUUAACACAUGCAAGUCGAACGAAAGGCCUCACCUUUUGGUGGGGUGCUCGAGUGGCGAACGGGUGAGUAACACGUGGGUGAUCUGCCCUGUACUUCGGGAUAAGCUUGGGAAACUGGGUCUAAUACCGGAUAGGACCAUGGUUUAGUGUCUCAUGGUGGAAAGAUUAUUGUUUUGGUGCAGGGUGAGCUCGCGGCCUAUCAGCUUGUUGGUGGGGUAAUGGCCUACCAAGGCGUCGACGGGUAGCCGGCCUGAGAGGGUGGACGGCCACAUUGGGACUGAGAUACGGCCCAGACUCCUACGGGAGGCAGCAGUGGGGAAUAUUGCACAAUGGGCGCAAGCCUGAUGCAGCGACGCCGCGUGGGGGAUGACGGCCUUCGGGUUGUAAACUCCUUUCGUUAGGGACGAAGCCAUACUUUUGGGUGUGGUGACGGUACCUUUGUUAAGAAGCACCGGCUAACUACGUG
rnacentral:rRNA from 1 species